CGGCCACAGUACAUUGAAGAAAAUGCGUGAAAUGCUUAUAUUGCUGUAUUUUGUGAUUUAAAAGGCAUUAUCUUCUAUCCUAGAGAUUACUUAAGUGUUCAGUGUUUCACGUAACGACGCUAUCCCAGUUGCUAUGCAUGUGUUCCAUUUAUUGGCCUCCUUCAGUGGUAGAACGACUGCGGUUCAUCUCGAAAACUUUUUUUUAUAUGGCUGUGGAGCCUAUUUCCGGAAAGACACACUUUACAUGUCUUGCAGGUCAAAGUGUCUUUCGCUAUACUGGUGGAGGAGCUGGUCAUUUUUCGUAUAGCACGUUUUUUUUUAACAACUGAAGCCCAUGGUUUCUCGCUGUCCAUAGUGUCACCAUCUCUCUCCAACUAGUGAGGGUCUAGAGCUAUGUCUUCCCAAUGAUCAGUAUCAAUGUUCACUGACUUUGCAUCUCAUUUCAUGACAUCUGUGUUACAUAACAGCAUAGGAUAUUGGCAAAUAAUAAUUUUUGUGUCUCCUAUCCAUACCACGCAGGUCAGAGGGGGAACCUUUGACAUCCCAGCACAAGUGACGGUAAGUGGCAUUGGUAUAAAGAACUAUGUUUAUAAAAAGAAAUAUUACAAUUUUUAGGAAUACUAAGUUCACUAAGAGCAUGUGACUAAUCGACUUACUGUAUAACGUCUAGGGUAGAGUACGUUAAAUGCGUGCACAGAAGACAGUACUAAUUAUAUUUUAUUUUUCUCUUAUUUAUUUCUCGUUACUUUUUGCCUCUUUCUCUCUACUUUUACUCUCUUUUCUCUACUUCUGUUCUAAUUAUGUCACUUCUCUCUCUCUCUCUCUCUCUCUCUUUCUCUCUCUCUCU